CCUCUCUAUGGUCCAGAAUUAUCUUCCCUAAUAUGCAGAGAACAAACAGAGCCUCUGGGAGGCAAAAAGUUCUGCCACUGCUUGGAGAGAUGCUUUUCCCAGGUAGCUGCUGCUUCUCCAGCCUGGACCCCAGAAUAAGUAUGCAUUGAACAGAGCCACCUCAGCCAUCUGCAGACCUGCAGUAUGAAGUAGAGCCAGCCCAACUGACCCUCAGACCCAUGAUUGUUGAGAUUCAAAGAAGACUUCGAGGAGGAGAAAGACUGUGUGGUUUCAAGCAAAGAGUUAAUUAUCAUGAGUGGGAAAAUGGAACAAAGAGGUGAGAUGGAGGUUGGAAAUGACCAGAAGCCAC